rnacentral:tRNA from 1 species
GCCCGGGUGGCGGAAUUGGCAGACGCGCCAGCUUGAGGGGCUGGUGAGGGCAACCUCGUGCUGGUUCGACUCCAGUCCCGGGCA